UAAAGCGCGCGUAGGUGGUUUGUUAAGUUGGAUGUGAAAGCCUGGGCUCAACCUAGGAACUGCAUCCAAAACUAACUCACUAGAGUACGAUAGAGGGAGGUAGAAUUCAUAGUGUAGCGGUGGAAUGCGUAGAUAUUAUGAAGAAUACCAGUGGCGAAGGCGGCCUCCUGGAUCUGUACUGACACUGAGGUGCGAAAGCGUGGGUAGCGAACAGGAUUAGAUACCCUGGUAGUCCACGCCGUAAACGAUGACAACUAGCUGUUAGGAGACUAUGUCUUUUAGUGGCGCAGCUAACGUUUUAAGUUGUCCGCCUGGGGAGUACGGCCGCAAGGCUAAAACUCAAAUGAAUUGACGGGGACCCGCACAAGCAGUGGAUCAUGUGGUUUAAUUCGAUGCAACGCGAAAAACCUUACCUACUCUUGACAUACUUGGAAGCUCUUGUAAUGAGAGUGUGCUUUUAAGAACCAAGAUACAGGUGCUGCAUGGCUGUCGUCAGCUCGUGUCGUGAGAUGUUCCGUUAAGUCGGAUAACGAGCGCAACCCUUACCCUUAUUUGCCAGCGAUUCGGUCGGGAACUAUAAGGGGACUGCCGGUGAUAAACCGGAGGAAGGUGAGGACGACGUCAAGUCAUCAUGGCCCUUACGAGUAGGGCUACACACGUGAUACAAUGGGAGAGACAGACGGACGCUAAGCCGCGAGGUGGUGCUAAUCCUAGAAACUCUCUCGUAGUCCGGAUUGGAGUCUGCAACUCGACUCCAUGAAGUUGGAAUUGCUAGUAAUCGCGGAUCAGCAUGCCGCGGUGAAUACGUUCUCGGGUCUUGUACACACCGCCCGUCACACCAUGGAAGUGGAUUGCACCAGAAGUAGAUAGUCUAACCUUAGGGAAGGCGUUUACCACGGUGUGCUUCAUGACUGGGGUGAAGUCGUAACAAGGUAACCAAG
rnacentral:rRNA from 1 species